rnacentral:rRNA from 1 species
GGUUAAGCGACUAAGCGUACACGGUGGAUGCCCUGGCAGUCAGAGGCGAUGAAGGACGUGCUAAUCUGCGAAAAGCGUCGGUAAGGUGAUAUGAACCGUUAUAGCCGGCGAUGUCCGAAUGGGGAAACCCAGUGCAAUUCGUUGCACUAUCGUUAACUGAAUACAUAGGUUAACGAGGCGAACCGGGGGAACUGAAACAUCUAAGUACCCCGAGGAAAAGAAAUCAACCGAGAUUCCCCCAGUAGCGGCGAGCGAACGGGGAGCAGCCCGGAGUCUGAAUCAGCUUGUGUGUUAGUGGAAGCGUCUGGAAAGUCGCAGGGUACAGGGUGAUACUCCCGUACACUAAAACACACAGGCUGUGAACUCGAAGAGUAGGGCGGGACACGUGGUAUCCUGUCUGAAUAUGGGGGGACCAUCCUCCAAGGCUAAAUACUCCUGACUGACCGAUAGUGAACCAGUACCGUGAGGGAAAGGCGAAAAGAACCCCGGCGAGGGGAGUGAAAAAGAACCUGAAACCGUGUACGUACAAGCAGUAGGAGCCC